rnacentral:misc_RNA from 1 species
AAAAAAAAAAAAUAAAAAAAAAAGGAAGAAUGACCCACCUAAGGAAUUGCAAAUAAGAGGAAUUUAGGAUAUGCUUAACGUAAUUGAUGAGAAACAGUUGCUGAGAGAUAGAGAGAUAGAGAGUAGUUAUGGAUGACACAAGGGCCAAUCCUUCUGAUCAAACGCUUGAAAGCAAACAAAAGGGUAAUCAACUACCUAGAUGGCUAGACCUCCAUGGGAUGUCCAUCUCAUAUAUUUUCUACUUGAAAGGUCAACUUGGAAGGAAAAAGAAAGAAGCAGCAAAUUCAGUAAUACAGUAGACAGAAGCUGGCAAUGAGAGCAGACCAAUAUAAGCAAAAGAACAACUUUCUCUCUCCACACAUUUCCAUCUCUAUUUUCUUUCUUGAAAGUGAGAGAGAGAAAGAGAGUCAAAACUAACAACUCCCUAAAAGAAAGUGAUAGAUGAAGAAGAAAGGCUAAUGAGAAAACCCUUCUUUUACUUCUUUUUCCUUCUCUCUAGAAAUGGAAAUGGGAGGCUUAAAGACUACGAAGAUAAUAUCAAGAAAUCACCCACAUGAACUUCUCUUUGAUAUAUAAUAUUCUUGAACUUAAACACCUUCCAUGAUGAGCACACAAGUUUUUGGCUAAGAAGAAGAGAGAACAGAGAGUUUAGUGUACUAAAAAAGAACUAAGUACUGGGCGGUGAAGGAGAAGAGAGGAGAGAAUAAGAGAGAGUUUUGUAUUGGGCUAUGGCAAGUGAAGGAAGCACUAAACAAGGAGCUUAUAGUAGGGUUGAGAGCCAAAAAGGAGAGAGGAGAGAGAAGGAAAAAAAGAGAAUUUUUUUUCUUUUUUUACAG